UACGGAGGGUGCGAACGUUGCUCGGAAUCAUUGGGCGUAAAGCGCACGUAGGCUGCGAAGAAAGUUGGGUGUGAAAACCCAGGGCUUAACCCUGGGCUUGCAGUGGAUACGGGCAGACUAGAGGCAGGUAGGGGAGAAUGGAAUUCCCGGUGUAGCGGUGAAAUGCGCAGAUAUCGGGAGGAACACCGGUGGCGAAGGCGGUCCGCUGGCCCUCUACUGACGCUGAGGCGCGAAAGCCAGGGGAGCAAACGGG
rnacentral:rRNA from 1 species